GGUAUGUCCUUCAACGGACCCGUGCACCUUUUGAAAGGUUCAGAGAUGGCUUGAGGUCUCUAGGUGUCCUAGAUGCUCUACAGACAUACCCUCUUCAGAUGAAGUGCCUUUUCGUGAAAGCUGGAAUGGCUCUCAGAGCAACUGAUAUGGAGAAUCUAUUCCAGAUCAUUCACUCCGAACGAGGGAGUAAUGCAUUUCAAGAUGAGUGCCGGACCCUGGCUUUCUGGCAAGACUAUCUUCAGGAGGCAGAAUUUGAAAAUGAUGUCUCUUUGGAAGAUAUUCUUGUUUUCUGCACUGGAUGUGACAGCAUACCAGCCCUGGGUUUUUCUCCAAAGCCAAGCCUUGAGUUCGUCACUAACUGCAGAUUUCCAGUGGCCAAUACUUGUGAAAAUAUCCUUCGUAUACCAGUUCAUGCAGUGUACACUACUUUCAAAUCAGACAUGGAUUUUGCAAUACGGAAUUCACCAGGAUUUGGAAGAGCAUGAUGUGUUUUCUUAAGGAUUGGUGACAUGAUGAGGAUUUGGGUUUUUUUCUAUUUUGCAUAUGCAUUUUUUAUUUUCUUGUUUUUGUUAAUGUUGUUAACCCCGCAUCAGAGUACACCCUGGACAGCAGUAGGACUGUAUAGCCUAAAUAAGCUUCAUGUGUGUCUUUCAAAUUACAGCUUAAAUACCAGUUCAUGCAGUGCACACUACUUUCAAAUCAGACAUGGAUUUGAUAAGCCGAAGAGAAUGGAUAGAAUAAUUUUGUUUCAGUUUAU